UGAGGAAUAUUGGUCAAUGGACGAGAGUCUGAACCAGCCAAGUAGCGUGAAGGAUGAAGGUCCUACGGAUUGUAAACUUCUUUUAUAAGGGAAUAAUCCCUCCCACGUGUGGGAGCUUGUAUGUACCUUAUGAAUAAGCAUCGGCUAACUCCGUGCCAGCAGCCGCAGUAAUACGGAGGAUGCGAGCGUUAUCCGGAUUUAUUGGGUUUAAAGGGAGCGCAGACGGGUCGUUAAGUCAGCUGUGAAAGUUUGGGGCUCAACCUUAAAAUUGCAGUUGAUACUGGCGUCCUUGAGUGCGGUUGAGGUGUGCGGAAUUCGUGGUGUAGCGGUGAAAUGCUUAGAUAUCACGAAGAACUCCGAUUGCGAAGGCAGCACACUAAUCCGUAACUGACGUUCAUGCUCGAAAGUGUGGGUAUCAAACAGG
rnacentral:rRNA from 1 species